rnacentral:rRNA from 1 species
AUUGAACGCUGGCGGCAUGCUUUACACAUGCAAGUCGAACGGCAGCGCGGGCUUCGGCCUGGCGGCGAGUGGCGAACGGGUGAGUAAUGCAUCGGAACGUGCCCAGUAGUGGGGGAUAGCCCGGCGAAAGCCGGGUUAAUACCGCAUACGACCUGAGGGUGAAAGCGGGGGGCCGAAAGGCCUCGCGCUAUUGGAGCGGCCGAUGUCGGAUUAGCUAGUUGGUGGGGUAAAGGCUUACCAAGGCGACGAUCCGUAGCUGGUCUGAGAGGACGACCAGCCACACUGGGACUGAGACACGGCCCAGACUCCUACGGGAGGCAGCAGUGGGGAAUUUUGGACAAUGGGGGCAACCCUGAUCCAGCCAUGCCGCGUGCGGGAAGAAGGCCUUCGGGUUGUAAACCGCUUUUGUUCGGGAAGAAAUCCUCUGGGCUAAUACCCCGGGGGGAUGACGGUACCGGAAGAAUAAGCACCGGCUAACUACGUG